rnacentral:rRNA from 3 species
UGCGUGAAGCUGGAAUCGCUAGUAAUCGCGGAUCAGCAUGCCGCGGUGAAUACGUUCCCGGGCCUUGUACACACCGCCCGUCACACCACGAGAGUUUGUAACACCCGAAGUCGGUGAGGUAACCUUUAUGGAGCCAGCCGCCGAAGGUGGGACAGAUGAUUGGGGUGAAGUCGUAACAAGGUAGCCGUAUCGGAAGGUGCGGCUGGAUCACCUCCUUU